GUCCCAUUUACCUGUGGGAUCGAGCAAACAAACAGAUAUACAGUCCACUAAAUCGCCGCUUAGAAUUUCGUAUAACCCGCGCCACCAUACAGUAUUGUUCGAAUUAAUCCUGUAGGUCAUAAACUCAUAACACAUUAAAUUAAGUCCUAUUUCAAAUAAAGUAUAAUUAAGGCUUAUAAAAUCAAAGGCAGCUAACUUAACGUCUGUCGACAUCGGCAUUCCAGACGCCAACAAUUUCCACUGCUCAAACUGGUUUUCUGUUAAUUUACAUUCGUCCAUGAAGCACGCAUUGCUGUGUAACAGGUUACUACAGUUGAAACUCGAGUUUGGCGUCAAACCCGUCAGUCUACAAAAGUUAAACUGACAUUCUAUCA
rnacentral:misc_RNA from 1 species